AUCCAGCUGAUGAGUUCCAAAUAGGACAAAACGAGAGUCCUGGAU
rnacentral:hammerhead_ribozyme from 1 species